UAAGCUUGACAUCCCAUUGACCUUUCCCUACUCGGAGAUUUCCCUUCGGGGACAAUGUUGACAGGUGGUGCAUGGUUGUCGUCAGCUCGUGUCGUGAGAUGUUGGGUUAAGUCCCGCAACGAGCGCAACCCUUGCCUUUAGUUGCCAGCAUUAAGUUGGGCACUCUAGAGGGACUGCCGAGGAUAACUCGGAGGAAGGUGGGGAUGACGUCAAAUCAUCAUGCCCCUUAUGCUUAGGGCUACACACGUGCUACAAUGGGUGGUACAGAGGGUUGCCAAGCCGUGAGGUGGAGCUAAUCCCUUAAAGCCAUUCUCAGUUCGGAUUGUAGGCUGAAACUCGCCUACAUGAAGCUGGAGUUACUAGUAAUCGCAGAUCAGAAUGCUGCGGUGAAUGCGUUCCCGGGUC
rnacentral:rRNA from 1 species